AUUGAACGCUGGCGGCAGGCCUAACACAUGCCAGUCGAGCGGACGAACGGGGCUUGCUCCUCUCUUCUGCUGCGGACGGGUGAGUAAUUCCUAGGAAUCUGACUUACCUUUGGGGAUAACGUCCGUUAACGGAAGCUAAUAUCGCAUCCGACGUUAUUGUGAACGUGAUGGAUCUUCGGUGCUCUCGCUAUUUGAUGAGCCUAAGUUGUAUGAGCUAGUUGGUGAGGUAAAGGCCUACCAAGGCGACGAUCCGCAACUGGUCUGAGAGGCUGACCAGUCACACUGGAACUGAGACACGGUCCAGACUCCUACGGGAGGCAGCAGUGGGGAAUCUUGGGCAAUGGGCGAAAGCCUGAUGGAGCAAUGCCGCGUGUGUGAUGAAGGUCUUCGGAUUGUAAAGCACUGUAAGUUGGGAGGAAGGGAAGUAAGUUAAUACCUGGCUGUUUUGACGGUACCAACAGAAUAAGCACCGGCUAACUUCGUG
rnacentral:rRNA from 1 species